rnacentral:rRNA from 1 species
AGCGAACGCUGGCGGCGUGCCUAACACAUGCAAGUCGAACGUGAAAAGGGGCAACCCUGAGUAAAGUGGCGUACGGGUGAGUAACGCGUAGGUAAUCUACCCCAGAAUCCGGAAUAACCAGCCGAAAGGCGGGCUAAUACUGGAUAGAGCGACGGAAUCCGUAAUUGGGUUUUUCGGGAAAGGGAGCUCGCAAGAGCCCUCGUGCUGGGAUGAGCCUGCGUCUCAUUAGCUAGUUGGUGGGGUAAUGGCCCACCAAGGCUUUGAUGGGUAGCUGGUCUGAGAGGAUGAUCAGCCACACUGGAACUGAAACACGGUCCAGACUCCUACGGGAGGCAGCAGUGGGGAAUCUUGCGCAAUGGACGAAAGUCUGACGCAGCCACGCUGUGUGAGUGAAGAAGGCCUUCGGGUUGUAAAGCUCUGUCGGGCGGGACGAAAAUUUUCUGGGUUAACAGUUUAGGGAACUGACGGUACCGCCAAAGGAAGCACCGGCUAACUUCGUGCCAGCAGCCGCCGUAA